AUUGAACGCUGGCGGCAGGCUUAACACAUGCAAGUCGAACGAUGACUCUCUAGCUUGCUAGAGAAGAUUAGUGGCGGACGGGUGAGUAACAUUUAGGAAUCUGCCUAGUAGUGGGGGAUAGCUCGGGGAAACUCGAAUUAAUACCGCAUACGACCUACGGGUGAAAGGGGGCGCAAGCUCUUGCUAUUAGAUGAGCCUAAAUCAGAUUAGCUAGUUGGUGGGGUAAAGGCCCACCAAGGCGACGAUCUGUAACUGGUCUGAGAGGAUGAUCAGCCACACCGGAACUGAGACACGGUCCGGACUCCUACGGGAGGCAGCAGUGGGGAAUAUUGGACAAUGGGGGCAACCCUGAUCCAGCCAUGCCGCGUGUGUGAAGAAGGCCUUUUGGUUGUAAAGCACUUUAAGCAGGGAGGAGAGGCUAAUGGUUAAUACCCAUUAGAUUAGACGUUACCUGCAGAAUAAGCACCGGCUAACUCUGUGCCAGCAGCCGCGGUAAUACAGAGGGUGCGAGCGUUAAUCGGAAUUACUGGGCGUAAAGCGAGUGUAGGUGGCUCAUUAAGUCACAUGUGAAAUCCCCGGGCUUAACCUGGGAACUGCAUGUGAUACUGGUGGUGCUAGAAUAUGUGAGAGGGAAGUAGAAUUCCGGGUGUAGCGGUGAAAUGCGUAGAGAUCUGGAGGAAUACCGAUGGCGAAGGCAGCUUCCUGGCAUAAUAUUGACACUGAGAUUCGAAAGCGUGGGUAGCAAACAGGAUUAGAUACCCUGGUAGUCCACGCCGUAAACGAUGUCUACUAGCCGUUGGGGUCCUUGAGACUUUAGUGGCGCAGUUAACGCGAUAAGUAGACCGCCUGGGGAGUACGGCCGCAAGGUUAAAACUCAAAUGAAUUGACGGGGGCCCGCACAAGCGGUGGAGCAUGUGGUUUAAUUCGAUGCAACGCGAAGAACCUUACCUGGUCUUGACAUAGUGAGAAUCUUUCAGAGAUGAGAGAGUGCCUUCGGGAAUUCACAUACAGGUGCUGCAUGGCUGUCGUCAGCUCGUGUCGUGAGAUGUUGGGUUAAGUCCCGCAACGAGCGCAACCCUUUUCCUUAUUUGCCAGCGGGUUAAGCCGGGAACUUUAAGGAUACUGCCAGUGACAAACUGGAGGAAGGCGGGGACGACGUCAAGUCAUCAUGGCCCUUACGACCAGGGCUACACACGUGCUACAAUGGUAGGUACAGAGGGUUGCUACACAGCGAUGUGAUGCUAAUCUCAAAAAGCCUAUCGUAGUCCGGAUUGGAGUCUGCAACUCGACUCCAUGAAGUCGGAAUCGCUAGUAAUCGCAGAUCAGAAUGCUGCGGUGAAUACGUUCCCGGGCCU
rnacentral:rRNA from 1 species